rnacentral:rRNA from 1 species
GACGAACGCUGGCGGCGUGCUUAACACAUGCAAGUCGAACGGAAAGGCCCUGCUUUUGUGGGGUGCUCGAGUGGCGAACGGGUGAGUAACACGUGAGUAACCUGCCCUUGACUUUGGGAUAACUUCAGGAAACUGGGGCUAAUACCGGAUAGGAGCUCCUGCUGCAUGGUGGGGGUUGGAAAGUUUCGGCGGUUGGGGAUGGACUCGCGGCUUAUCAGCUUGUUGGUGGGGUAGUGGCUUACCAAGGCCUUGACGGGUAGCCGGCCUGGGAGGGUGACCGGCCACAUUGGGAUUGAGAUACGGCCCAGAGUCCUACGGGAGGCAGCGGCGGGAAUUAUUGCACAAUGGGCGGAGGCCGUGUGCAGCAACGCCGCGUGCUGGAUGACGGCUGUCGGGUUAGAAACCGCGUUCGCCUGUGACGAAGAGUGAGUGACGGUAAUGGGUAAAGAAGCACCGGCUAACUACGUG